rnacentral:rRNA from 1 species
AUUGAACGCUGGCGGCAUGCUUUACACAUGCCAGUUGAACGGUAACAGGCCUUCGGGUGCUGACGAGUGGCGCACGGGUGCGUAAUGCAUCGGAACGUGCCCAGAGGUGGGGGAUAACGCAGCGAAAGCUGUGCUAAUACCGCAUGUGAUCUGAGGAUGAAAGCGGGGGACCAGGCAGCAAUGUUUGGCCUCGCGCCUUUGGAGCGGCCGAUGCCAGAUUAGGUAGUUGGUGGGGUAAAGGCCUACCAAGCCGACGAUCUGUAGCUGGUCUGAGAGGACGACCAGCCGCACUGGGACUGAGACACGGCCCAGACGCCUACGGGAGGCAGCAGUGGGGAAUUUUGGACAAUGGGCGCAAGCCUGAUCCAGCAAUGCCGCGUGCGGGAAGAAGGCCUUCGGGUUGUAAACCGCUUUUGUACGGAACGAAAAGGCUCUGGCUAAUACCUGGGGCUGAUGACGGUACCGUAAGAAUAAGCACCGGCUAACUACGUG